rnacentral:rRNA from 1 species
GGGAGGUAGUGACAAUAAAUAACAAUACAGGGCUUUCAAGUCUUGUAAUUGGAAUGAGUACAAUUUAAAUCCCUUAACGAGGAACAAUUGGAGGGCAAGUCUGGUGCCAGCAGCCGCGGUAAUUCCAGCUCCAAUAGCGUAUAUUAAAGUUGUUGCAGUUAAAAAGCUCGUAGUUGAAUUUCGGGAUCAGCAGGUUGGUCGUGCCACUGGUAUGCACUGGCUUUGCUGGUUCCUCCUUUCUGAAGAACUGUAAUGCCAUUAAUUUGGUGUUGCAGGGAAACAGGACUGUUACUUUGAAAAAAUUAGAGUGUUUAAAGCAAGCUAACGCUUGAAUACAUUAGCAUGGAAUAAUGAAAUAGGACGUUCGAUCCUAUUUUGUUGGUUUCUAGGAUUGACGUAAUGAUUAAUAGGGAUAGUUGGG